CUUGGGUAUAGGGGCGAA
rnacentral:snRNA from 1 species